rnacentral:lncRNA from 1 species
UUCUUUCACAGGACUGCUCCUGAAUCUUCCUCAGAGACUCCAGAUUGCCAGACAUGCACCAACAGUCUGAUAUCUAUCCUGUCCGAGGAACAGAAGAACCCGCUUUCGACUAAAGGCCCUUGGUCCAUAUGGCCUGCAUUUGCAGCUGGACAGACAGUGCUAAGGAAUCACAAACCCUGCUGUGCCCCAAAGGAGAGACAGUCUAGCAAUAAACAAGCUCUUCUCACCAUUCCAAAGCCACCAUACUUGGAGCAAAUGGAGUCCUACUUAAAGAAGGAGCUGCAGGCUCUUGAGUGGAGUAAAGAGAAUGCCCAGGAACUGAAGUUACAGGUCUGAUACAAGGUUCUCUUGGCUUGAAAUGAAGUGCUGAGAUGGGUACUUAAAUUUGCUAUCCAAAGGAAAAAGGAGAUGAGAGAAGUAGGCGCCUAUGGGUAGUACUGAAUAAGUGGAUUUGUAGCUCAGACUAGAGAACUUGCACAGGAUUCAGUUUAUUUAUAUAUUGGGUUGCUGCUCUUUGCAUGUUAUUGGGUUGUUUGCAUCUUCUAAUGUAUUCCACAUCUUCUAUAACAGUUUCCAUUUUCAAAUCAAAG